rnacentral:lncRNA from 1 species
AUCACUCCACUAAUUUUGCACCAAUUGUCAAAAGUGGGCCCCACCACUUUUGACCAAAAAACUUCUUCACAUUAACAGUACUAUGAAUAGUAACACGUGAAUAGUAAUGCGGAAUGUGGGUCCCAUGAACAGUAACCGACCACUUUUCUUCACAUGCGUGAAUAGUAACGCGGCAGUGGGUCCCAUGAACAGUAACCGACCACUUUUCUUCACAUGCGUGAAUAGUACGCGGAAUGUGGGUCCCAUGAACAGUAACCACCCACUUUUCUUCACAUGCGUGAAUAGUAACCGCGUGAAUAGUGAAUAGUAACGCGGGUC